GCCGCGGCCCCUCCCGCUUCUGGCUCAGCCCUUCCCACCGAGUCGGUCGGCCUUGACUUCCCGCCAUGCUCCCCGUUUCCUCCCAACAGUCCUGGGGUCUUUCCAGUCCGUCAUCUUCGGCUGCUUUCGUCCCAGAAGACUGCCAGAAUCCCUCAAAGAAAUUGGAUGUUCUUCGUGCUUAUACUCCCCAUACGGUAGAUGAAGACCAGGAGGUCACAGAGAUGAAGCGUCAAGCCCAGGCCAGGCGAAGACUCAGGAAUCCGGUGUGCCGACUCAGCUGAGGACAGCAGUGAAGCCUCUUUGCUCUGAGGCAUGUGGGAUCUUAGCUCCCCAGCCAGAAAUCGAACCUGCACCCACUGCAUUGGAAGGCGAAGUCUUAACCACUGGACUGCCAGG